GGCCCGUACCCCUAGUAGGUAGAGGAAUCCUGAGCCUUUGGCUUGCCUCACUUUUAUUCACCCAAACAUGGGCACAAGGAAUCAAAGUAAUACAAGAUUCAUCUGGCUUUCAAUAUCCAUUAGUACAUUUUCUGGUAAACAACUUAACCUCAGCUGUCUCAACUUUUUCCUAGAAUGUGCAAGGUGAGCUCACCCCUGAGUGCAGCCUUUCUCCUUUGUGCUCACAGAGGAGGCCAAUUAAGUCUUAAUUUUCCUCUGGUCUUCCACAAAAGCCAUUUUAGGAACAGAGAAAUUCCUUCCUCUUUUCAUCCGGUCUACUGAUGGAAAGGGAUACAAGAAAAGAAAAAAGUAGAGGAAACAAAUAUUUAGCUUUAUUCAUUUGGGAUAUACUCACUGAGGAUUUUACAUGGCUCAUCAGUGAUGUCUGAUGUUCUCAGAUGGUUUUAUCAACAUUAAGAGUAAUGAUUGUCUGACACAGAAACUGGGACUUGGCAAGAUCAACAGAUCUGACAUUUGAAGAAGGUCAGCCUAACUUGAAAGUUACAAAUCUUAACGGAAAAGCUGAAUGAAGCCUUGAUGUUUCAGGUCUGGAAGCCUUGAAAAAUGUGUUUCUCCAUAUUCUCUGGCAUCUUUGUUGUCCCUUGAAGGAAGCAGAAGCUCAGCUAAUGUGGGAGGAGAAAUAAGUCUUAAAACUUGAAUAGAGAAACACAACAAGGAAGACAUCCUACAUGCUGAUGAUCCUUGGAUGAGGGACAGAGGAAUUGUUUUCCAGGACCAAGAAAGAGUUUCUGACAUAGACCCUAUAAAGAUUUUAUUGGAACUAGUGGGCAGGUCCCAUACAUCCUGCUGAAGAGUUGCCCUGGAGAAUAUAGUGAUUAAAAUGACUGACAAAGUAGAUUUAAGC
ensembl:lncRNA